rnacentral:rRNA from 1 species
AUUGAACGCUGGCGGCAUGCUUUACACAUGCAAGUCGAACGGCAGCGGGUCCUUCGGGAUGCCGGCGAGUGGCGAACGGGUGAGUAAUGCAUCGGAACGUACCCAGUCGUGGGGGAUAACGUAGCGAAAGUUACGCUAAUACCGCAUACGACCUGAGGGUGAAAGCAGGGGAUCUUCGGACCUUGUGCGAUUGGAGCGGCCGAUGUCAGAUUAGCUAGUUGGUGGGGUAAAGGCCUACCAAAGCGACGAUCUGUAGCGGGUCUGAGAGGAUGAUCCGCCACACUGGAACUGAGACACGGUCCAGACUCCUACGGGAGGCAGCAGUGGGGAAUUUUGGACAAUGGGCGCAAGCCUGAUCCAGCCAUGCCGCGUGAGUGAAGAAGGCCUCGGUUGUAAG